rnacentral:lncRNA from 1 species
GAAACAUUGAUUUAAAUAUUAAAAACACAUAAGAUGGGUUAAAGUAAUAGUAAAAUACAUACUGUAUGGUACUAUAGAAGGUCUCCUUUAAAUCUGAGCUUCUUUAAAAGCUGCACAUCUUAAGAACCUUUGUGUGCCAGAAAUUCAAGUUCCAGCUGGCUGUUGAGAUUAUACUUGUAAAUUUAAUCAGUAUUUUUGGUAUUAUUAUUUUGCAGCCCACAUUCUUCUGUCAAAUUCAGAAAGCUCUGAAGUCAUUAAAUCACACUGAAUUUGGAACUGAUGGAGUACUCAUGAGGUUACUGGAUGAGUACGAUUUAUCGAUUAAGCAGAUGUCACAUCAUAAGGGAAAUUGUAAAAUUGAUGACAAUGGUGACCAGGUACAACUUCAUGCGCUUCUAAAUAAGAUGAAGGACUGCAUCCAGAAAAUCAAUUCUAAACCAAAUUAAGACUGGAAAAGGCUGCUAUUAUGAAUUGC